GACGUAGGGGGCUAGCGUUGUCCGGAAUCAUUGGGCGUAAAGAGCGUGUAGGCGGUCCGGUAAGUCCGCUGUGAAAGUCGGGGGCUCAACCCUCGAAUGCCGGUGGAUACUGUCGGGCUAGAGUGCGGAAGAGGCGAGUGGAAUUCCUGGUGUAGCGGUGAAAUGCGCAGAUAUCAGGAGGAACACCUAGUGCGAAGGCAGCUCGCUGGGACGUAACUGACGCUGAGACGCGAAAGCGUGGGAGCAAACAGGAUUAG
rnacentral:rRNA from 1 species